GCCCGUCUGGCGAAACUGGUAGACGCACCAGAUUUAGGUUCUGACGCCGCAAGGUGUGCCGGUUCGAGUCCGGCGGCGGGCACCA
rnacentral:tRNA from 1 species